rnacentral:lncRNA from 1 species
CUUGCCCAAAAGGUCAGAUUCUUGUUGCCUAAUCUUCCUUUAUGGUUCUGGGCUUCCCAGAAUAGCCAAGUUGCUCAAACAAAUAAAGCUGUCAAGAUAAGAAUAGGAGUCGGCAGGUCCUAGUGUUUGUCUGACUUCAUUUCAAGAAUCUGGUCUUCUCAGUCUGUUCAGAUCAGAGAGAAAUAGUCAAAGACUUGAAUUGCGUGUAAGAGAAAAGACAGACAAGUUAAAAAGCCCUGAUUAGCAUAGAAAUCUCGAAACCUGUUGUGAUGAUUUGACUGGGAACUGACCUUAUUUGAGGAAUGUCUGCUGUCACGUGAUGAAUGAACUGAAAACCCCAGAACGAGCAGGAG